rnacentral:rRNA from 1 species
UACGGGGGGGGCAAGCGUUGUUCGGAAUUACUGGGCGUAAAGGGCUCGUAGGCGGCCAACUAAGUCGGAUGUGAAAUCCCCAGGCUUAACCUGGGAACUGCAUCCGAUACUGGAUGGCUUGAAUUCGGGAGAGGGAUGCAGAAUUCCAGGUGUAGCGGUGAAAUGCGUAGAUAUCUGGAGGAAUACCGGUGGCGAAGGCGGCAUCCUGGGCCGAGAUUGACGCUGAUGAGCGAAAGCUAGGGGAGCAAACGGG